rnacentral:rRNA from 1 species
AUGACGACUCCGAAGCACAACCAUGGCCGCUUGGAGGCGCAGAAAAGGAGGGCAACGGCAGCGCUGCUGCCGGACGGCCGGAGUCCUGCUCCUCCCCUUGUUCUCGUCCUUGUCUCCGUUCAGGCGCGACUAUCAGCGUCGUCCGCUGCGGGCAUCACGUGCAGCUCGGCCCACGGGGUCGAGAAGUACGUCCCAUGGGACAACGCAGUACUGUGUGGAAUCCUAGUACUGGACUGGCUUCGUCUUUCAACGAGCUCCACCGGUCGUCCGCCGGCGGGAUCCUCUGCAGCUGCGCUGGCGAGGGCUCACUGUUGCUUCUCAUUGUAG